GAUGAACGCUGGCGGCGUGCUUAACACAUGCAAGUCGAACGGAAAGGCCCGAGCUUGCUUGGGUACUCGAGUGGCGAACGGGUGAGUAACACGUGGGUGAUCUGCCCUGCACUUCGGGAUAAGCCUGGGAAACUGGGUCUAAUACCGGAUAGGACCACUUCUUGGAUGUUGUGGUGGAAAGUUUUUUCGGUGUGGGAUGAGCUCGCGGCCUAUCAGCUUGUUGGUGGGGUAAUGGCCUACCAAGGCGUCGACGGGUAGCCGGCCUGAGAGGGUGUACGGCCACAUUGGGACUGAGAUACGGCCCAGACUCCUACGGGAGGCAGCAGUGGGGAAUAUUGCACAAUGGGCGCAAGCCUGAUGCAGCGACGCCGCGUGGGGGAUGACGGCCUUCGGGUUGUAAACUCCUUUCGCUAGGGACGAAGCGUUUUGUGACGGUACCUGGAGAAGAAGCACCGGCUAACUACGUG
rnacentral:rRNA from 1 species